rnacentral:rRNA from 1 species
UAGGGAAUUUUCCACAAUGGACGAAAGUCUGAUGGAGCAACGCCGCGUGAACGAUGAAGGUCUUCGGAUUGUAAAGUUCUGUUGUCAGGGACGAAUAAGUACCGUUCGAACAGGGCGGUACCUUGACGGUACCUGACGAGAAAGCCACGGCUAACUACGUGCCAGCAGCCGCGGUAAUACGUAGGUGGCAAGCGUUGUCCGGAAUUAUUGGGCGUAAAGCGCGCGCAGGCGGCUAUGUAAGUCUGGUGUUAAAGCCCGGGGCUCAACCCCGGUUCGCAUCGGAAACUGUGUAGCUUGAGUGCAGAAGAGGAAAGCGGUAUUCCACGUGUAGCGGUGAAAUGCGUAGAGAUGUGGAGGAACACCAGUGGCGAAGGCGGCUUUCUGGUCUGUAACUGACGCUGAGGCGCGAAAGCGUGGGGAGCAAACA